GACGAACGCUGGCGGCGUGCCUAACACAUGCAAGUCGAACGGGGGGAACAUGAAGUAUUUCGGUACGGAAUGCGCCCCUAGUGGCGAACGGGUGAGUAACACGUGGGCAACCUGCCCCAGACUGGGGGAUAACAUUGUGAAAACAGUGCUAAUACCGCAUGACAGGGUUCCGGGCAUCCGGGACCCUUGAAAGGAGAAAUCCGGUCAGGGAUGGGCCCGCGUCCAAUUAGCUAGUUGGCGGGGUAACGCCCACCAAGGCGACGAUUGGUAGCCGAACUGAGAGGUUGAUCGGCCACAUUGGGACUGAGACACGGCCCAGACUCCUACGGGAGGCAGCAGUGGGGAAUAUUGGGCAAUGGGCGAAAGCCUGACCCAGCGACGCCGCGUGAAGGAUGAAGGUCUUCGGAUUGUAAACUUCUUUGAUCAGGGAAGAAAGAAAUGACGGUACCUGAAAAACAAGCCACGGCUAACUACGUG
rnacentral:rRNA from 1 species